ACUGGUGACAUUGAGCAAAAAAAGGAAGGAGAGCAGAGGAGAUGGAUGAAAAAGCUAUGUGUGAAACACUGUGAAAACAAAGUCUGUACAUAGUUGACCUGUAAGUUCGAUGCAGUGUGGUGGGCCCCCAAUAACCACUGAUACAUUAUGAAGCAGAGAGAAAAGGCCUGGCUCCAUGAAAUUGUGAACAAAGAGGAGAGGACUGUAACUUGAGAAGAUGGUCAGGGAUCAUGUUUUGUAAAGGCUCAAGAACAGCUUCAGGUUAGCAGUACGGGCCUGGUUUUUUAAAGUCAUUCCAAAUCUGCUCGCGGUUAGUGUGUGGAGAAGUUGUGGUGGCUACUAUCCUGGAGAAGGCACAGCGAUUAUAUGGCAAAGGAAAUACAUAGAAGUAACCCCAGUUUGGGGGGUCGGUGGGAGGAAUGCCCAGGGUUGAGCGAGUAACCAUGGCAUUGUGUGACGUCACUUACCUGUGAGGCAGCCACGCCUUUGUUUUCUCCACACCUUUGUUUUGCCUGUGAAAGACUCCUAAUCCUCCUAAGGCUUUGUGAAUACCUGUUUGCCUUUUCUGAUCUUGAGUGUAACAAAUUGAUGUGUGUAUAAAAAAAUAUAUUUCCAAUUUCGUGUUAGUUAUAUAUCAACUGUUUUGACAGAAAGUUGCUGUAGGGUGCUCAUAUUAAUUGUCUAUUGUUUAACGUUUGACCAGUUUGGAAGGUGUAAAGCUUUUGCAUAACACCGAUACACACCUGUAUGAUCAGUGG